UACAGAGGUGGCAAGCGUUGUUCGGAAUUACUGGGCGUAAAGGGCGCGUAGGCGGCCAUCUAAGUCAGACGUGAAAUCCCCCGGCUUAACCUGGGAACUGCGUCUGAUACUGGACGGCUAGAGUAUGGGAGAGGGAUGUAGAAUUCCAGGUGUAGCGGUGAAAUGCGUAGAUAUCUGGAGGAAUACCGGUGGCGAAGGCGGCUUCCUGGACCGACACUGACGCUGAGGCGCGAAAGCCAGGGGAGCAAACGGG
rnacentral:rRNA from 1 species